rnacentral:rRNA from 1 species
GACAGAGGGGGCAAGCGUUGCUCGGAAUUACUGGGCGUAAAGGGCGCGUAGGCGGGAUGGCAAGUCGGUCGUGAAAUCCCUCGGCUCAACCGAGGAACGUCGAUCGAUACUGCUGUUCUUGAGGAUUGCAGAGGAGACUGGAAUUCCCGGUGUAGCGGCGAAAUGUGUAGAGAUCGGGAGGAACACCGGUGGCGAAGGCGGGUCUCUGGGCAAUUCCUGACGCUGAGGCGCGAAAGCGUGGGGAGCAAACGGG